UACAAUUGAGACAGGUGGUGCAUGGUUGUCGUCAGCUCGUGUCGUGAGAUGUUGGGUUAAGUCCCGCAACGAGCGCAACCCUUGUGUUUAGUUGCAAACAAGGUCAAGCUGUGCACUCUAGACAGACUGCCGUGGACAACACGGAGGAAGGUGGGGAUGACGUCAAAUCAUCAUGCCCCUUAUGAUCUGGGCUACACACGUGCUACAAUGGCCGGUACAACGGGCAGCGAAGGAGCGAUCCGGAGCGAAUCCUAAAAAGCCGGUCCCAGUUCGGAUUGCAGGCUGAAACUCGCCUACAUGAAGUUGGAGUUGCUAGUAAUCGCGAAUCAGAAUGUCGCGGUGAAUGCGCUCCCGGGUCUU
rnacentral:rRNA from 1 species